rnacentral:lncRNA from 1 species
UCGAGGAUUAAGCAAAAGCAAAGAUGCGUGUCUCUCAUGAGUUGAUAUUACUUGAAGCUGAGAAUUACUUCAACAACUUAUAAUAUAAUCCAGGGUUAGUCUUCCUAAUUCUAUAUUCCGAAUACAUUGAAUGGGCAUAACAAACAUUAACGUAUUUGCCAACAGUCAAAUCAUAUACACAAACUCUUGUAUUACAUUUUUGUUGAAACCAUAGGAGACUAGUUUUGCUAAUUUAACAACCUUUGGAAAUAAUAUGUUGUCUCCCAAUCCCUGGUUGGCGAUUGCUAGUGCUUCCCCUCUGCAACCCACGGCUCCGGCCUGCAUAUUCAGCCGCACACCUCCCACCCCAGAUCCGCCUGACCCAAACCACUUCCCCCCUCUCUCUGCUGCUCGUUCCCCUUCCAAACGAUCCAAAUCUUACAUCCCCCUUUUAAGUUUCUGGAUACUGUUCACCAGAAGCUCACUACUUCUGCUUCUCCCUCUGAGAUUUCACCUACUGUUCCUCUUCCCCAAUCUACCACUGUCUUACCUUCUUCCUCAACUUCUCAAUUACUAGCCUCCUUCAUUCACUCCCCAUUUUUUAAUUGUUCACAACACCCUAGUCAUGUUCCUAUUAUUACCUCCGUGAACCACCCAUUGCAAUUAACUCUACUCCCCUUCCACAAACGACCAGUAUUCUUGGCCUCA